GAUGAACGCUGGCGGCGUGCCUAAUACAUGCAAGUCGAGCGAACAGACGAGGAGCUUGCUCCUUUGACGUUAGCGGCGGACGGGUGAGUAACACGUAGGUAACCUACCUAUAAGACUGGGAUAACUUCGGGAAACCGGAGCUAAUACCGGAUAAUAUUUCGAACCGCAUGGUUCGAUAGUGAAAGAUGGCUUUGCUAUCACUUAUAGAUGGACCUGCGCCGUAUUAGCUAGUUGGUAAGGUAACGGCUUACCAAGGCAACGAUACGUAGCCGACCUGAGAGGGUGAUCGGCCACACUGGAACUGAGACACGGUCCAGACUCCUACGGGAGGCAGCAGUAGGGAAUCUUACGCAAAGGGCGAAAGCCUGACGGAGCAACGCCGCGUGAGUGAUGAAGGUCUUCGGAUCGUAAAACUCUGUUAUUAGGGAAGAACAAACGUGUAAGUAACUGUGCACGUCUUGACGGUACCUAAUCAGAAAGCCACGGCUAACUACGUG
rnacentral:rRNA from 1 species